UGAGGAAUAUUGGUCAAUGGGCGAGAGCCUGAACCAGCCAAGUAGCGUGCAGGAUGACGGCCCUAUGGGUUGUAAACUGCUUUUAUAUGGGAAUAAAGUGAGGGACGUGUCCCUUAUUGCAUGUACCAUACGAAUAAGGACCGGCUAAUUCCGUGCCAGCAGCCGCGGUAAUACGUAUGUUGCGAGCGUUAUCCGGAAUUAUUGGGCUUAAAGGGCAUCUAGGCGGUAAGACAAGUUGAAGGUGAAAACCUGUGGCUCAACCAUAGGCUUGCCUACAAAACUGUUGAACUAGAGUACUGGAAAGGUGGGUGGAACUACACGAGUAGAGGUGAAAUUCGUAGAUAUGUGUAGGAAUGCCGAUGAUGAAGAUAACUCACUGGACAGAAACUGACGCUGAAGUGCGAAAGCUAGGGGAGCAAACAGG
rnacentral:rRNA from 1 species